CGCGUAGGCGGCUUUUCAAGUCAGGGGUGAAAUCCCGAGGCUCAACCUCGGAACUGCCCUUGAAACUGGAUGGCUAGAAUAUUGGAGAGGUAAGUGGAAUUCCGAGUGUAGAGGUGAAAUUCGUAGAUAUUCGGAAGAACACCAGUGGCGAAGGCGACUUACUGGACAAUUAUUGACGCUGAGGUGCGAAAGCGUGGGGAGCAAAC
rnacentral:rRNA from 1 species